ACCCCUGCGAUGCCUAGCGCAGAGCCUGGCCCGGGGCCGGGGCCCACUGAACACUCAUGCAGGCCAGUGGCAUGAGCCUCACAGGACUCAUGUGAAUAGUCUUUGUGCCCCAGGGGGCAGCGGGUACUGACUCCGGCCCGAGGGAUGGUGACUUGCAUUCUUUUUUUUAAAAUAUAUUUUAUUGAUUUUUUUUUUAUUGCUUAAAGUAUUACAAAGGGUA